rnacentral:rRNA from 1 species
AGUGAACGCUGGCGGUAGGCCUAACACAUGCAAGUCGAACGGCGGCACAGUAAGAGCUUGCUCUUACGGGUGGCGAGUGGCGGACGGGUGAGGAAUACAUCGGAAUCUACUUUUUCGUGGGGGAUAACGUAGGGAAACUUACGCUAAUACCGCAUACGACCUACGGGUGAAAGCAGGGGAUCUUCGGACCUUGCGCGAUUGAAUGAGCCGAUGUCGGAUUAGCUAGUUGGCGGGGUAAAGGCCCACCAAGGCGACGAUCCGUAGUUGGUCUGAGAGGAUGAUCAGCCACACUGGAACUGAGACACGGUCCAGACUCCUACGGGAGGCAGCAGUGGGGAAUAUUGGACAAUGGGCGCAAGCCUGAUCCAGCCAUACCGCGUGGGUGAAGAAGGCCUUCGGGUUGUAAAGCCCUUUUGUUGGGAAAGAAAAGCAGCAGGUUAAUACCCCGCUGUUCUGACGGUACCCAAAGAAUAAGCACCGGCUAACUUCGUG